UACGAAGGGUGCAAACGUUGCUCGGAAUUAUUGGGCGUAAAGCGCACGUAGGCGGCUUUGUGUGUCGGAUGUGAAAUCCCUCGGCUUAACCAAGGAAGUGCAUUCGAAACUGCGAAGCUUGAGUACCUAAGAGGAUCGCGGAAUUCCCGGUGUAGAGGUGAAAGUCGUAGAUAUCGGGAGGAACACCAGUGGCGAAGGCGGCGAUCGGGGAAGAUACUGACGCUGAGGUGCGAAAGCGUGGGGAGCAAACCGG
rnacentral:rRNA from 1 species